UACGUAGGGUGCGAGCGUUAAUCGGAAUUACUGGGCGUAAAGCGUGCGCAGGCGGUUUUACAAGCCAGAUGUGAAAUCCCCGGGCUUAACCUGGGAACUGCAUUUGUGACUGCAAGACUAGAGCGCGGCAGAGGGGGGCAGAAUUCCACGUGUAGCAGUGAAAUGCGUAGAUAUGUGGAGGAACACCAAUGGCGAAGGCAGCCCCCUGGGAUAACACUGACGCUCAUGUACGAAAGCGUGGGUAGCAAACAGG
rnacentral:rRNA from 1 species